UCUGCCUCGCUGAAAACCCCGUGCCCGAGCACCCUCGCCGUUUCUUCCUUCCCCGCGCGCCCGACGCCCUCCUCCGUGCCCUAACUGCCGGCCUCGGCGGUUUCUUCCUCCCCAAAACCUGAAAUCCCUCGGCCACUUCUCCUCUCCUCUGCCUCCCGAAUCUUUUCUCCCUCUCUACAGCCGAUCUUUUCUCCCUCUCUACAGCCGAGUGACUUUGUGCCCUAGUGAGCCGCGAGCCUCCACUUUUCUCUUCUUCUUUCCAUCCCCGACGCGAGUUUUGCUUAUGCCCUAGCGCCGACCAAGAUUUUUGUUUCACCUCUCUUCCUUUCUUCUGGCAGAGCAAGAGCCGACCGACUGCUCUACCUCCCGAUCGUCGGCCAUCAUCACUCGACUACCACUGUGCUUUGCCGCCGCCGCCCACUCUUGACCCGAGCAACAACCGAAGCUUCUUUUCAUCUGCCCUAGCUUCGUGCCCUAGUUUGGGUCCACCUGAUUGCCGGUGCCAGACAAGGUGUAUCCGACAGAAAUCGAGCACCUCAGGUCUGCUAGUUCUGUGCCCUAUUUGUCGGCCACCCGUUUUUGGUUUUAACCGGUUACUGUCUACCGGCAGAGAGGAAAAGAGACUAGGCAGCAACUCUGCUCUUGGAUCCGGCAGCCACCUUCCAGCGACUACCUUUCUCCGGCAGCAACAUCCCUGCUGAGAAGUAAGGUUGAUGCUGUCAGGAGAGAGUUCCAGUUGCCAGUCCCCUGCAGACCACGA